AGGCAGGCACUCGCCGGAGUCAUCCUGUGCACCUGGCCCCUCCCCGUUAAGUCCUGCGAGCACUUUUUCUUCCAGACUGGUAGGGGCUGGCGCAGCUUGAACACAACCCAGGAAGAGCUGGUUCCUUUAAGGGCUGAAGUCACCUCCAGGGAACAAAGCUGCCAGUGUAGGAACAGACUAGCAAGUCUCACCAGGUCUGGGUGGUCGCUGUGAAACCCCUACCCCUUCCCCUUUAGAAGCCUUAGGUAGGGGCGGGUUUGGGUAUGCUGAGUUGUCACCAGGUUCUUUUUCUCUGAAACCUUCUAUGGCGCCCCAUUGCUCAUCCAGUAAUGAAAGCUCUGGCCUCUACUUAGAUGGAUGGCAUCCAGGGUCUUUAUAACUACCUCUUCAACCUCUCCCCCUGCCCCCCCCCAUCCGGCGUCCCCCCUCCCUGCUCCCCAGUUUCUAGGAGCCAAUAACUACAAGAAGCCAAUUCUUCGGGCUUCUGUCCACAUCCCUCUCUCAGCGGCACACUAUCCUAAGGCUUUGUAUCUCGUGGGCUUUCUUUGGUGUUCUCUACAGGGUUAAAUUCUGUUUCCAAGGACUCAGUCUCCAAGAUAACAGUCCACCUAAGAAUCUAACCUCUGAUCUAGUGUCCAUAGCUCCUGGUAAAUUUGCCUCUAAACAGUUGCCUCCAGGGGCUAUAAAACAUUUACAGAGAGAGGACAGAGAAGUGGAAUUCCAAGCAGACAAUGGGAUCUGUGUCUGGGCAGGUAUAGGGAAACUGGGGGAAAGUAACACUAUUUCCCUGGCUACUCUGCUUUUUCCAUGGUGCCAUGGUGCCAUGGUACCAUGGGACUGGGCUGAAAUGCUGACACCAACAAUUAGUGCAGAAUCUGGUAGCACAAGCCUUUAAUCCCAGCAUUUGGUAGGAGAGUGGAUCUCUGUGAAUCUGAAGCCAUCCUGGUCUACAUAAUGAGUUCCAGGGCAGCCAGGGCUCUAUAGUGAAACCCUGUCUCAACAAAACAAAGCACAACCAGAAGUAUUAGUGUAAUUACUUUGAGAAACCCUUAUUCAAAUCAGGAGGAGACUAUUAGACCCAUUUUAGAGAUGGAUGUGGGUUUUGAAGCUGAGAAGAGAUGCGUGCAGAUGUUUGGCAAGUAAACGGCAGAGCUGGGACUCCAGCAUCUGAAGCUUGUGGUUCAGAGGCUAUCUAAAGAUUCUCCAUCUUUUUGAAUCAUUCUGUCUGCCACCUUUGUAUCUAAUCUUCUGUCAAGAAUGGCCUUCAUAAUCUAGCCACCUAUUGAACUACCUUCCAAACCCUGCUCUGCAUCACCUCCCUCUUCCCAAAGAGCCACACAUACACACACACACACACACA
rnacentral:lncRNA from 1 species